rnacentral:lncRNA from 1 species
AUUGAUGUACGAAUUUAAUUGGGAAUCACCAUUUGGAUAGGAUACAACACUAGUUCUUGAAAUGGAUGUUCUUGAACCUAGAGUUUGGUUGAGAAGGCAAUGAAUAGUGACUUGAUGAUGUUGGGUAAUUAACAUAGUAUUAUUAAUGACUCCAAAUGAGUAUUAAAUGACAAUAAUUAAAUUGAAUAGGCUAACGGAUGAGCCUACUGGAUAAUUUGGGAUGGUUGAAGGCUUGUUGCCGAAUUGUGAAGCCUAAAUAGAUAUUUAUGAAUCUUUUCAUAUUUAUUUUGAUAUAGUUGGGAUAUCUAAUGGUAGCAACAAACAUUUCAUACCCGUAGAAGACAUCAACCUCAAGCCAUUGUCAAAACCAUCAUAAACUCUUCGAAACCCAUUUGCCUAUAACCAGGCCAUCAUAACUGAAUCCCUCUAAAUCAUCCUAGUCAUACAGACUGCCAAAUCCAAAAGUCUUGCCACAAAAACACCUACAAGGCCCCCGCGAUCGCGAUGAACAAAUUCCAUUAACACUUCCCAAACUCUUCUAGAUAGCCUGUAGUAUAUCAGCCAUUACUUUUUAUACAAAACUUCAAAUGACAAACGGUUUUAUUUACUUAAAAGUAGUAAAAAAGAGCUACAACUUACUUUUUUGGAUCACGUCCAAAUUCUUUAUGGAUUGCAAGAUAUAAGCUUCCAAAUUCAGAACUGUGACAGUAGAAAUUCCUCUAUGCGAUCGCGAGAGAGGCUACCGCGAUCGCGAUUCACAAGGCCCAAACAGCAAUUUGCUCUUCGGGAACGCGAGCCAAAGGUCCACGAUCACGAUUCACACCCAGUAGCCAAAACCCAGCAACUAAAAAUGGCCUAGAAAUGGUCUGAAAUCACCCAGAAACUCACUCGAGCCCCUCGGGACCCCGUCUGAACAUACCAACAAGUCUCAAAACAUAACACAGACCUACUCGAGGCCUCUAAUCACACAUAAUAACAUCAAAACCACGAGUCUCACCUCAAAUAAACUUUAUGAACUUUUGAAUUUUCAACUUCCAAAACUCUUGCCAAACCAUAUCAAAUCAUAUCAGAAUGACCUCAAAAUUUGCAUACAAGUUUCAAAUGACAUAACGAGCCUAUUCCAACUUCCGAAACAAUAAUUCGAAUCUGAUAUCAUCAAAGUCAACUCCCAAUCAAACCUAUGAACUUUCCAAACCAUCAAAUUGCCAACAUUCUCCAAUUAGCGCCUAAAUAUUUUAGAAAUAUCCAAAUGCAAAUCUGGGCAUACAUCCAAAUCCAAAAUCAUAAUCCAGACCUAACGGAACCAUCAAAACUGUAAUUCGGGGUCAAAUACACAAAAGUAAAAUUGGUCAACUAUUCUAACAUAAUGCUUCUAAGAUGAGAACCAUUCAUCCAAAUUAAUCUUUAAUCACCCAAAAAUCAAAAUCGAAGAUACACACAAGUCAUCAUAAGUCAUACGAUUCUACUCAUGAUCUUAAACCACCGAACUUAGUGAAAAUGCUCAAAACGAUCGAUCGGGUCAUUACAGAACGAUAAUCUACAUCAUACAACUUAUUGGAAUCAAAAUAGAAUCAAUAACUAUAAGUAGCCUUCACUUAGACAAUUUGUCAAACACCUUAGAGUACAUAGAACUCUCAAGUUCCUUAUCAAUAGUAGCUUAACAUCACGACCACAUCUUUUGCCCUACUUAUCUUUCUUAUCAUUUUAGCAACACAACCAACCAAAUUCAGUGAAAAAUACAAAUGAAAAUGUGAAGAAUCCCAUGGUCAAAGGAAAACCAUAUAGUACCCAUAUGAGAACACUUAGAGAGGGUUUGGGAGUGUUUUGGAUCUGGAAAUAGUGAAAAAUACGAAUGAAAAUGGGUUGUAGGUGUUCAUAUAUAUAUAUAUAUAUAUAUAUAUAUAUAUAUAUAUGUGAAUAUUUCCACCAUCUAAAGUGGGACUCAUAGGGAGCUUCUUGCAUAAUCUCGUGAAAAUAUGAAUAUAUAUCUGCUACAUAUCUCUCUACUCCGAUAUUGUAUUGAUGAAUAGUUUAAUGCAUUAGAAACUAGUCUCGUAGAGCUUAAUUUUGGUGGGUGGAUCACCCUAUAACUCCAAUUACAUUGAAAGCAAAUCUCACUGAUAUUAUACCCAAAUUUCAGUAAGAUAAAAAAAAACUUAGUAAGAUUAUGAACGUAUCUUGCGACAACUUUUGCAAAAAAUAAUUUUACAACUUACUUGACUUCAAAUCUUAACAUACGAUUAUUGUAAGAUUCAAAUACCUUAUUACAAGACCUUAUUAUCAUACUAAGCACUCUUAUUCUUAUCCCAAAAGUACGGCUAUGGCAAUCCACUUUUUUUAGAGAACUUCAGUGGAAAGAAUUUCUUUGAUUUGUAUAACCCUGAAUUCUUACAAAACUUACUUAUCACCUCAAUAAACUUCUCUUAACCUUUUGGAGAGAUAUUAAACUCUCUGAGCUUACGUUAGUUAAUUAACGACGCAAUCGACGUCAAAAGUAUGGGGUGUAACACAAUAACUCACUUCAUAAUUAAUAAAAAUUAUUCAAUACAUAAGCAUAUCAAGAGAUUUAACCCAAAAUUUCAUAUUGAAUAUUUCCAUAAACAAAGUUUCAAUACCACCAUGAAUCAGAACUUACAUGAAACCCAAACAUCUUAGGAUAGUCACUGGCAGACACUAGUUCAUGAUCACUCUUCACUGAGUGUUAAGUAGUCUAGGUUAGGCAAUUCAGACUUGAAAAUAAUCUCACAAAGGGUUAUGCUAACAAUGAAUAACAGAAGCAAUCAACUAGAUAAAACAAUGAAGUGAUUUGAUAAUUAAGAAAGGGUCCUAUAUGCAUAGUAUCUACAACAUGAUAUUGAAUAACAAGAAAGAUAGGAAUUUUAACUAUAUUAUCAAAUAACUUAGAUCAACAAUACUCAAUCAAUAGGCCAGGCAGUGUUGCCUCAUUUUAUUAAGGUAUUAUAGACAUGGUUUCCAUAAACAUAAACAAUCAGUAUGAUAAAGAAACAGCAUGCAUGGUUUUAUAAAACAAAAUACAAUUACUAAACAUGUUAGGGGCAGGUAUUCAAGUUUUAUCACAUGUUCUAUAUUCAAGUUAAUAUGAUGAACAUAUACUACUUGCUAACAAGACUUCAAUCUGUCCGGUAUGCUAACAUGAUAGGUCACACGUACUUUCAAUGAAAGACACCAAUUAUCCAAGUAAUAUGGUGUAAGAACCUAAAUGACUAACAACAAAGAACCAGUGUCCAAGCAAAACAUAAACAUAGCAAAUAAGAUUUAAUGGUCACCAAGAGACAUUUGUUGACUAAACAAAACAACAUAAGGGACAAACAUAGCUGAUAAUAGGGGAUAUUAAUUAGUUAAGUAAACAUCAACAUGAGCAUCAAACCACAAUUGAGGGACAUAUGCUGACUAACAGAAUAACAUGAGAGACAGUAGACACACGAUUAAGAGCGAAACAUUCAAUAACUAAGAAGAACCACUAUGCGAAAGCAAUAAACAAAUCUGACUUAUUAAGGUAGAAUCGGGGAUUUACUAACCUUUUUAGGGGCAGCAAACGAGGUAGUUACUAUCAGCCAUUAAGAACCAAUGCUCACAGCCAACUCCAAGCAGUUAAACUCGAACAGAAACGAAAGAGAAAAAAGUAACUUGGACAAACAAACUUAAAGAUUUAAAGAGAAUUCAAGUGUAUUUACUAUCAUUCGAUUAUAUUUUAGUGUGCUGGUGAGGGCAUUAAAGCCCGAUAUUAUUGCCAAGAUUGGAGAUUUAGGGUUUUCAUUUGAAUUUUGAAAUUCAGUUGAAGACAUAGGAUGAUGAUGAAUAUUGAUGAGAUCGUAUGAUGAAAUCAAAGUAAAAAAAUGAGAACUCAGAAAGGGAAACUAGGGUAAGGAUUUUACCUAUCCAAAGAUGACGACCAGACUAGCCAUUUGAGGCCAACGGACCGUGGGACAAAAACAUUGCCCAGAGGUCCCUGCAUUUUACCUCUCGGCCAUCAACCGUCAUGAAGAGGUCACGAUUCUUUCGAAUAUGUGGCUGCAUGCGACACUUUAAUGGUUAUAUGAACAAACUAACAUGGUGAUCAUGAGAUUCUUUGUUUUUUAAAUUUAGGGGUAGGGUUUCAAUGAGUUGAGGCUUGGAAAUGAGAGAUGGAAAUGGAAGUUUUAGCUAGAUUUUGAGUUUAUAAGGGAGAUUAUUGGAGCUAUAGUUGUCUUCCAAUGCUCUAGCAUUGAUUUGUGUUAGUUUCGUGAAUCUUCAUAGGGAAAAGGACGAGGGAAAUAAUGAGAUAAAGGGGAAACUAGGGCGGCUGGUGAGGCUGGAAUGAAUUAGGGUUAGGGGUGUUUGAUGAAUUAAAGGGGUGGGAUAAAUCUGAGUUGUUG